UUAUUUAUUUUUUUUUUUUUUUUUUUUUUUUUUUUUUUUAGAGCAAGCAAGUGGCAGAGAGAGGAAGAUCCCAGUGUCCUGGGAUCAUGACCUGAGACAAAAUCAAAAGUUGACACUUAACUGACUGAGCUACCCAGAGGCCUCCCUCCAUUCCCAAUUAUUAUAAAAGUUGUUUAUUUGAUGCUAGUUAGAAAAAAAAAUUAUGUGUCAGAUUAUUCUAUUUAAUUUUAGCAAUUCCCCAGGUUUCUUCUAACUCAUUUCCAUGUGAUGGCCUUUAAGUAUACAAUCUAUAAACUUCCAUGCUUCCUGUCAUAAUCCUUAGUUAUUCCCCCAAAGCAAAUUCCACCAUGGAGAGUAAUAAAUUAAUCUAGAUAAUACAUACUAUCUCAAUGAGUGGUACACUCCUAUAAUUUAUACUUGUGUUUACACAAAAUCACUGCCCAUUAGAAAAGAGGAACUGCUCAGUCCUAAUGUGUGAGCCACUGAAGAAGAUGCAAAAGAGAAAAACUGAUGGGAUCUUGGGUUCCCAGGGAGUUCUGACCUAGUGGAGUAGACAAUAGAGAGACAGAAGGGCUGAGAAUGUCAAUAGAAGGCCCAAGCUGCAGGAGUUCUACUAGGUGGACGCCAUCUUGUCAAUGAAAUAAUCUCUGAUCAGAGACUCAGGAGAAGGCCAGGGCUCCAGGAAAGACAGAGAAGUGCAAAACUGGAAGGAGGCAAGAUGGGGCCGACCAGAAAUGGGUGACAUGCUCACUUCAGUUUAAGAGAGUGUGCUACACACAGUACCAUCUCCUCUCCUUCCUCAGAACUUGUAUGAUUUGGCUGUAAUAGGACUGGAGCUAUGGCUGAGGCUUCUCUGAGGACAAGGAUGGGUGGAAUCAGGAGUCAACCAGCAGAAAGGACUGGCAGGGUGGCUGAAGCAAGAGAUCCAAGGAGGCAGGUGAAGACGUUAGGAUCCUGCAUCAAGCAUCAUGGACACACCAGCCAUGGUCUAGCAGAUGGAGAAGAAGAAAAUUAAAACAAAUGGGGCUGGUAUAGAAAGAGAUUCUAAGAACUGGGAGAUUAAAUAUGCAAAUGAACAAUGGCAAGACCAUGUAUAUAAAAACUAGACUCCACCCCACAAGCUGCAUCAGCCUGACCAAGACACCAACCUCUCGCCUACAAUAACCAGCCCAGGAAGCCAGCCGGCAGUAAGGCAGGCUCGUAGGAAGUCAGGCUAUUUCUAGUAACAGUCCAAGACACCAAACAAUAACUCCUGUAACCUUGUGCUCCAAAUGGCUGGGACUUGAUUAAUAACUACCAGCUUCCCUAAUUUUUGUCCCUCCUUCCAACUCAGGACCAAGCAGAUGUCUUGAUUCUAGAAGCUGGCCAGCCUCCAGCUUCCCCUAGGCCAACAACCCCUACCAGGGUCCUAGCAGGGCACACCUAAAGGCUUCCCUUUUUCCACUAGAAAACUCAACAGAUCCUCUAUCUGCCUUUGAGUCUCUGCCAAAACACGAGUGAUGGUGGAUGACUGCUUUGCCAUAGCCAGCCCUGAAUAAAGUCUCGAUUCUCCUGCAGUUGUCUUCAUUUCCUUCCCCAGAACCAAAGACUACACUUAGAAUUAAGCAGAUUCGGGAGAAGUGAGGAUGUGGGAGGAAUAGGAAGUUGGUGUGAAGAGAGAAGGGGGUUUUACCACCGUGGAAGGGAAGGAGAGGGGAGUAUUUACAUAUUGCUUAUUAUGAGUUUCCUGCUGCUUUCUUAUGGGGUAUGCAAUUUACCAAUAAAGCUUCGUGAGACAGAUUUCUUUUAAUCUACCACUUUUAAGAGAAACAAUUCUAAAAUAUCCUUCAUAACCCACCAGGAGGGAGUGGAGGCCAAGGCCUAGGGUCCCUUCUUUUACCGUGCCAGGCUACACCCCAAGUCCUCUCUGUAGCAACAAAGCCACAACUGUCUCAUUAUUAACUGCAUUGCAGCUCCUCCUUCACGCCUGCCAUGUGCUGUAAAUGGGUAUUGAAUGAAAUAGUGAAACUAAUUUCUUGUCCAAAUUUACAGAGUUAGUAAGUGCUAUAAUGUAGAUCCGAAUCCAGAUCUUUCUGAUUUCGAAGUCUACGGCUGUUCACUGCAUUAGGCUUACUUGGAAGUAUAAUGUGAAAUGGACAUUAGAUUUAUUGACUUGAGGUGGUAAAAACAGCAGGCUAGGGUCUUGGGAAGUUAAUUUUAGUUAUGAAGUACAAUGGCGAGAGAUGGAACUGAUGGUUGGGAGGUUGUUAGGCAUGGACGAGAGAAGGUGGAAAGUGCCAGAAUUAGCAGGUGAUGUUACCUCUGGAUAAGGAGGGAGCAGAUUAUGUGAGAAAGUUCCAUCAUGUUAAAAUGAGAACUACCGAGAAUGGACGGUGUGGCCAUGGGUUGUCUGGAGACUGGGACUGGAUGGGUACGAGGAACUGCAGUAACCCGACAUCCUGUGUGCUGGAGAGGAAAAAAAGCAGAAGCUCCUCGGGAUGAGGUUAGGGGAUGGCAGGCAUACCAGAAACACCUACUGAAUGGCUAAGAAUGCAGGAGACACACAAACAGGGGCCAAGGCUGCAGAAGAGAGGGAGAUUGGAGGGGCUGCAUGUUCUAGAAAACCUGGCUCCGGGAGGUGGAACCCAGUAACCAGCCAGUGAUUCCACUACCAAGGGGAAAGGCAGCCGGGAAUGGUGGGUAAUUGGAAGCACAUGUUCCAGAUUGAGGGUGAAGCAGCGUUGAGUCAUUAGGAUUUAAUUAUUGAUUUAAAUGGAAGCAGUCAGCAGACCCAAAUUCCACCUGUCUGAGUUUAAAGUAAAAACUGGAUCAAAGUAUAGCUUCUCACAAGUGAAAAGAGGAAUAGUUGUAAGGCUCCCUCGUUUUUUUUUGUUGAAAAUCACAAAUACCUGGUAAUGUGUGUUAAAAGGUCCUGCAUAUUUGGUCUCACAGAAGUUGGUAUAGUUUGACCUUUAUAAAGUUGCUUUCUGGGUGCUGGGGUUGGCCAGGUGAAGUACCCAGCACACUUUAUCACCAAGUGAGGUGAGAGGGGUCAGAGUCAAUCCACGGACUAAGAUGAGUCACUGGCCCCUCAUCCACGGAUGUUUCUAUCUGUCGCAUAAUGGGGUUCUCAGAAGGUACCGAUGCAGGAGUAUUCAGGAGGAAGACGGUGACAAUCUACUGUCAUUCUAUCACUUCAAUUAUAAUCCCAACACAGUUUUUCUCCCAAAUCAAGUCUGGGAAGUAAAUACAUUUAGGAGCCCCUUCCCAACAAGUUAGAAUAAAUCUAAAAUUUAUGCUCAUUUCUCUUUUGUAUCCUUUGUUCUGUAUAGAAUGUUGCUGUCUGGUAACUAGACUGUAAUGUACCAUGGGUUAAAAAAAACCCAAAACUUCAAUUGUCUUAUCCAGACACUUUUUGUGUCUUACAUUCAACCCGCAAGGAAAAAUAUGCAAGAUAAAAACUCAUGUACACAUUACCAAGUUGCUGUUGAUCUUAAGCCAGAAAAGAGGGGCACUUAGACUAAUGCUUGCCACAGGGAAAAAUUACAAUUAAAAUUCAUUUAUAACCUCUAGUUUAUACUAACUAUUGUAGUUGUGUGCCCUAACUUCAGCUCUGCAGUAACAUGUAAUAAAUAUAGACUCCUUAUCUAUCUCCCCACCAACCUUGACACUUUCCUACACCCUCUCCAUGACCUAAAAUUUAAAAAAUAGCAGCUUACGAACAGUUGGAUGAGAUUUAUGGGGAUAAAAACCAUGCUCUGAAGGCUCUGCCAGUCAGGGAUGACCCCAAAGAAAUGUUAUUUAAGGUAACUGAAGACACAUAAUACAUACAUAGAGACAGAUUGAGGAGAUGUCUGUCUUCUUAUAGGACACCCUGAUUUAUUUAAUCCCAAAGUUUAAGUUGGAAUUUUUCCUGAGAUGGGUGCUUUUUUACCUUCCAUUUGAUGUGACAGCUAGCAUGGUGCCCUUUGUCCAUUUGGGGCACUCAUUUUUUCCAGGCUUAUCACGAAACAAACCAAAACCUCAUAGAGAGGGGUCUCCAGAAAUGCAGACGGUACAAAAUUUCACCUUGUCAACCAUCCCUCCCUAUAGAGUAUGUCCAAACUGUAUAGAACUGUAAUUGAAUGAAAUCAUGGCUCAUGUUCAUUCCCUUGGUCUAAAAAGUAAGAGCAUCGGCUGGACAGACUCCUGCCUCAGCUUCAGCCCAAGGGGAUGAUGGAUGAUCACAUGUGUUUCUAAUUUUCUCUCCACUGUCUAGGGUUCUCUUUGGCUUUCCUGCCCACCCCCUAAAAGAGAAGUUUUGUUUGUUACCUCUUACCGACAUUUAUUUUGACAAUUUUUUUCUGAGAGACCAUCCUCAUCCUCUCCCAUGAUGUCCACGGCAGAAAAUAUCAACGCGACAAGAAUGGCAAAGCAGCAUACCAGGGCGAAGAUCACAAUGCAUUUCUGCUGGGACUGUCAAGAAAGAGAAGAUAAAGAAAAGUGAGAAGCAGCUUUCCCUUAGAAAAGUCGGGAACUGAUGGCUUUUCAAAAUCCUGUGGGAAACAAUUACUUCCGUCACUGCCAGCGGAGGGCUGCCCUCCAAGUGCUAUCUUGAUGUUCAUUCCCGAACACAGCCUUCAAGCCCCACUAAGUAUCUUAGAACAGCUAAAGAAUUCGAGUGCUGUAUCGAGACUUCUGAACAAGUUCUCUCUUCCCCUUUCUGAUCAAAAGCACUCCAGGAGAUCUGGAGACCUUCUACAAGAUCUUCUACAGAGAGCACGACAAGGCCCAUUAGCGCAAAUUAAAAAUGAAACACAGGGUGGUUCGAUAA